UUUAUGAAACUGAGCCCCAGAUCCAGCCAAUCACUUAGCUCCUCAUAACAAGUCUGACUGGCUCUGGAAAGCUGAAAGGGCUGCACUAGAACAACAAAGAUGAGAUAUUCCACAUAACACUCAGCUUAUCUGGAAUCACUUUCCCUUGCAAGGCCAGAAAAAAAAUGAUAGCUUUACUGCCCAAGGGAAGCACGACAGAGGACGGGGAAAUGCGACUUCACCUGGAGCAAGAUCUGUUAUGCGUUGGCAAGACCAACCCCGCCGGCCUUAAAGGACCCAGGUACCCCUGGGACUCGGAGGACAACCACAGCAGCAAAAACCCAAAGUGCUGCUGCUCACGGUGACCCUGUGAGAACUGACACUUCUGAGGGAAGCCAGGUUGUUAAAACUGUGAUUCCCUCUGCUCAACAAUAACAAGGAUGAUCUAGUCUGAAAGGGAAAGCACGCCCUUAAGGUAACGUUGUCAUUGAAACUUCAACACCCAGAAUUUUGUCAUUGAAUCCUCAACACCCAGAAUUUCCUGUUUCUCAUUCCCCAAAUAAAAUUAUGUUAAAAUCUCUUCAAA